UUUACUGGUAGCAUAUGCAGGCAAUAAUUUUUUUUCUUCCCAGCAAAAGACCUGGAAUUCUGCCUCUGUUUGCAUCUGUGAGAUGAUUGUGCCACUUGGUGUAUUCCUGGGCUUGAAGUUUUGGCCGGUCAAGGAUUUGCUGCGCAUUUUGUGAUGUCAUUGCAACUUUGUUUUCCCUGAAAAUUAUCAGAGGAUAUAGUAUAUAAAGUGGCACAUCUAGAGUCUCAUGAAGGGAUUACAGCUGCAAGGAGUGAGUUGACUCCCAGCCUUCACCUUCUGCCAGGGCCAUAAAGAUCAGUUCUUCUGCAGCAAAUGUGUUUCAGUUCCGAUUUCAAACCAAAAAAAUGAGGAGUUGUAUCGUGUUUCUUAAAGGACUGGCAGUUGGCACAUUCCUUUUAUUGCAAUACAGUAGGGAAUACAAAUGUUUUACAAAUUAAAAUAAUCCUUACAAGACUUUUUCUGUGAUCCAUUAACAUGGAAACAAGUUCUGUAAUAUACUGCUAUCAGCCAGGAGCUGCCUUAUUGUGGUUUCACAUUCAGGUUUUUGCAGCAUCCAUGGAUGUGUGUGUCUAUAAGCUCAGAAAUGCUAUAUACAUGUAGUAUGUGUGAAUGUGUAUACAAGACACAAGCAGAACUUAUGCAAAUACAGCACUGAAGCACAUAGCAUGUAAUAGCAGUUGUCUCAGGGUAGGAGUAAAACCUGUGCCUCUGGAUGCUGUUUUGUAUAUGAUGAAAAGUGGCUUGCCAUAAAUUCAUACAAUUCUGGUAUGUAGCAUAACCAUUGCAUUAAUGCUGUCAUUCCAUUCACCACCAGCAACACCAACAAAAAAAAUCAUUAUAUUAUGUAAUACAAAGAUAAAAAGGAUGGGGUGGUGAAAGUAGGGUGUACCACUUGUGCCCUUUUUGUAGUUAAUAGCAGGGUAAAAUGAAAUGUAUGAUGGGCUGUUUAAGAGGGAGAGAUAUAUUUUAUAUUAUCGUCAAUUCUUCCCUCCUGUUCUUAGGCCACUCCUACUUCAAAAGUGGAUCCAGACUCAGAUCUUGACAGAGAUCAUGACCCUGUUGAAACCAAUGGCUGUUUCAUCCUGGAAUUCAGUGGAGCCAGACUUUCAUCUCUGGCACAUACAUGCAACAUUUUAGCUGAGCUAAAAUUGCUAGUGAAGUCAUCUCCAGCAGCUCUUCACAUUACUCCUUUGAAACUCAAACCUGCAGUUGUUUACAACUUAAAGCUGAGACCACAAGUUCUGUUCCUCAGGUUGGUAAGAUUCUGUCCCUUCAUAAGUUUUAUAACACACACCUUUUAUAAAAAAGCAGAAAUUCCAAUGCAUUUCAGUGCCCUAUUUGCCCUCUCAUAGCCAGCUGAUCUUGUUUCCAUGAAGUGUGUUCUGUUAACAGUCAGCAAGUAGCACACUUGUCUCCAAUGGACUUUGAUUUCUUGGCAUUGUUCUCACUGUUCUCAACAUUUUGUGGUGGUGAACAGAUACUGCAAACAUGGAAAAUAGUCUCCGCUGGUGCCUAUAUUUGUAGUGUCAGUUCACAUUUGAUAUGAAUUUAGCUGAAACAUGAGGCAUGAACAUUAAGCACUGCCCUCUGAAAUGUUUUUCCUUGUUUUAGGAGAGUAAUCUUAUUUCUUUUAGAAGAAGCAAAUGAAUGGCAAAGCAAGGAGCAUAAACAGACAGAUUAUGUUUGAUUUCACAAACUAGGUAUUGAUGUUAUGAUACAUUCCAAAGAAGCAGGACAGGGAACUAGUGCUGUGCAGAUCAACUCAGCUGUGUGUUUUCAAACAGUAAAUCAUCUGAAAUUGGAGCUGUGAGACUGAGUGAAAUCCUGGUACUGCUGGAGUAACUGGAAGAGCAGGGCUGACUGGGGCGCUGUGCCUGCUUGCACAACUCUCCAAAGGGACUCUCUAAAGUUUCAAGUGCUGCCGGCAGUUGGUUGUCAUCUUUGCUCAGCUUAGCUUGACACCGUUUUCUGUUCAGUGGUGACUGCAAAGAGAGGUAAUACUCUUUAUUUAAACCAGCUCUCUUCAACACACCUUGGCUUCUGAUAGCCUUAGGUAGUGCUGACUGCCUCAUAUUCAUAUUGAGUUUGGAGCAUUCAGAAAAAUCAGAAGGCAGACAGGUUUUUAGACCAGCAGUGC
rnacentral:lncRNA from 14 species